GACGAACGCUGGCGGCGUGCUUAACACAUGCAAGUCGAACGGAAAGGCCCUGCUUUUGUGGGGUGCUCGAGUGGCGAACGGGUGAGUAACACGUGAGUAACCUGCCCUUGACUUUGGGAUAACUUCAGGAAACUGGGGCUAAUACCGGAUAGGAGCUCCUGCUGCAUGGUGGGGGUUGGAAAGUUUCGGCGGUUGGGGAUGGACUCGCGGCUUAUCAGCUUGUUGGUGGGGUAGUGGCUUACCAAGGCUUUGACGGGUAGCCGGCCUGAGAGGGUGACCGGCCACAUUGGGACUGGGAUACGGCCCAGACUCCUACGGGAGGAAGCAGUGGGGAAUAUUGCACAAUGGGCGGAAGCCUGAUGCAGCAACGCCGCGUGCGGGAUGACGGCCUUCGGGUUGUAACCCGCUUUCGCCUGUGACGAAGCGUGAGUGACGGUAAUGGGUAAAGAAGCACCGGCUAACUACGUG
rnacentral:rRNA from 1 species